GCGGGGGGGGCAAGCGUUGUUCGGAAUUACUGGGCGUAAAGGGUUCGUAGGUGGCCGACUAAGUCAGACGUGAAAUCCCUCGGCUUAACCGGGGAACUGCGUCUGAUACUGGAGGGCUUGAGUUUGGGAGAGGGAUGCGGAAUUCCAGGUGUAGCGGUGAAAUGCGUAGAUAUCUGGAGGAACACCGGUGGCGAAGGCGGCACCCUGGACCAACACUGACACUGAGGAGCGAAAGCCAGGGGAGCAAACGGGA
rnacentral:rRNA from 1 species